UUAAGUCUCUUCAACCGUAUGUCCGUACAUAAAAUUUAAGAGUUUUCUUUUGGUGAAAGACUUAAGAGUUUGCCAACUCUAAAUAAAUACAGCACAGACACUAGUUAGUUGUUUGCAUUGAAUUGGAGGAGAGUGGAUAGCAACAAACUCAAAUAGUCUCCUGUAAUUCCACCUUUCCAAAAACUGAAGACAAAAAAGGAAGCUUCAACCCUCAGCACUAUUUUGGUAAUAUGACGCAUGCCACAGAGUAUUCACCUGGACCACCCAAUAAUGGAUGAAGACAAGAGCGAAUCAUCUACUUGCAAUGACGAGAAUUUCUCAACCACAUCUCAAUCUCAUGAUGAGCAAGUUCCAGAGAUUGAAGCUCGAUAUUUAGAUGACAGUAUCUUAAUUAAUAUUUACUGUCAGAUGCAAAAGGAUACUUUAAGCAAACUUUUCAACAAUAUUCAAAGUUCUAAUCUCACCAUAACUAACGUUAAUGCUUGCCCGGUCGGCAAAUAUUUUGAUAUAACCAUUAAGGCUCAGAUGGAGUCUAGUUUCAAUAUGAAGAAACAGGAGUUCGUGAAACUUCUUCAUUCAUGCUUCGAGUAGCUACAUUUGUCGUUAUCUGGCUGCCAAUCUAUUAUCAAUUUAUCAUGUUAAUGAAGCUUAGCUAGACGCACGCUAGUAAUUUGUCUACUUUCAAUUAUCGUCAUGCACUUAUAAAGAACUUGCACCUUAGAAACUUUUACCCUCUUUAUUUUAAGAGGGAUUAAUCAUAAACUCGUUAAGGUUUCAAGCUGAGUUGAGUUCGAGCAGAGCCAAAUCGAGUCGAGUUUUGACCGAGCGUUGAUCGAUUCGAAAUCGAGUUACUCGACUCGAUUAGCUACUCCUAGUGGUAUCAUUAUCUUUAUUUUAUGCCAGUUGUGUAACUUUAAACAAUGGGUAACCGAUAAUGGUGGCAAGUUUAUAUAUACUUUAUCUGUUUGUUUUUA